AGUAAGAGUUCUCAAUGAUAAGAUACAGGUUGUACUCAAGUUCCACUAGAUUUGGUGCCUAAUGCUUCACAAGAUUGUAAACAAUAAAAGCUAGCAGUCUUUCUCAGACAAGCCCAUCUUUAAAAGAGACCCUUGAGACAAGACAAGCUGCUUGGAAGAAACACAAACAACAGAACUGAAGAGAUGAGGAUUAGACCAUCUGAUUCACUCAGAAAGGACACUCUUUAACCCAUUGAGUUGUCUGAAGGCUGUGAAGUGAAUUCCAGAUUUCUAGCUUUUGUGAGUUGUCUCACAUGCUGAGGUGGACUCCUAUGAUAAAUGUGAUUUUGAAUCGUUUCUUCUCUUGUAAAUACCCCCUCAUCGAUAUUCCUGUAAGUAACCACAAUAAACCUCAAAGUUCACCAAA